GCAUAUACAUGAACAGGUGGGCACAGGGAGGUAGUGGAGGGUCUAGUACAUAUACAUGAACAGGUGGGCACAGGGAGGUAGUGGAGGGUCUAAUGCAUAUACAUGAACAGGUGGGCACAGGGAGGUAGUGGAGGGUCUAGUACAUAUACAUGAACAGGUGGGCACAGGGAGGUAGUGGAGGGUCUAGUGCAUAUACAUGAACAGGUGGGCACAGGGAGGUAGUGGAGGGUCUAAUGCAUAUACAUGAACAGGUGGGCACAGGGAGGUAGUGGAGGGUCUAGUACAUAUACAUGAACAGGUGGGCACAGGGAGGUAGUGGGGGGUCUAAUGCAUAUACAUGAAC